rnacentral:lncRNA from 1 species
AAAAAACAAAUUGUAUGAAAUGGAUUUCUUCAGGAUCUUAGUUUGAUAUUGUAAGGUAGUGUUUUUUGGGUUUUGUUUUUUUUUUUUUAUUUUUUUACUUCACUUAAAGAGACUGAUUUAACAUGUCAAUUAAGAUGUGUCAAUAAAAUGUUAAGGAAGCAUGCCAUGCCAGGCCUUCUGAUUAGGAAAGGUGACUCUUGUAUUUCUUCUCUUGCUGGUGUACUCUUACUCCAAAACCAAGCAACCAUCUAAUCCUAAAUUUGCAGAGUUAGUCUGGCUACUCAGGGUAUGUGUUUUAUAUCAAAGGGGAUACAUUGUAUACACACUUGCAUGGGUCAUGCCUUGGAUUGUGCCCAAGCACUUGGGUUAGAGAUAGCUGGUUUUGACUAGGUUGUAUAUUAAAAGAUAAGUUCACAAGCUCUAUUAUUGUAUUAUGGGAAUAGGUGUUUGCUAUAAAGUCUAAAAAGUUUUAGCGUGUGUCAAAUGAAAAUUAUUUGUGGUUUAUUGAUGUAUUCAUCUAUUAAUCUUUCUUGAGAGAAAUCUUAAUAAUAGUCAACUGUCUCCUUUCCACAUACUAUAGACAUUUAUUUGCUUAAAUACAGUAAAUAUUUAAGAAAAAUAAUAGCUACAACUUCCUUUUUAAAAAGGGUGGUGUUUUAUUUUUGCUUGUUUUGAAAGAGGUUAGCCCUGUUUGAAGUUGCGUACUUUUAAAAUAACCUGUGAGACUGUAAGAUGAUUUGAUUCUGUCAGUGCUUUAUUGAUGGCAAAGAACAAUCAUAAAAAUAAGGGAAUUGUCAGAAUGGUGCAUAUUUUUAACAAAUAUUCUUCCAGAGCCUUGUGUAAUACAUGAUUUGGGAUUUUGCUUUUUUUAAAAAAAUGCCAUUCCAUUUUCUAUUUUCCUUUCUAGUUUUAGAGGAGAAAAGAAAAUGGAAUAUAGCCAUGAUAGCUGUUUAAGAAAAACAUUAUUACUAUUUGUAUUCAUUUCUGGGAAAUUUGACUUGUCUACUAUUUAUUUCUCAGAAAUGUGUCUUAUACAGUCUGUCAGUUUUGAAGAUAUUACACAGUAAAUUGCAGAAAUGGAUUUGUCAUAAAUCCUUUCAGAAAUGACACUAAUGGUCUGGUGAUAAAUCUAGAAAGGGGAAUUUUUAAUUAGUUUUAAAAAGAGUGAGUGAUAUUUUGUAUAAUUACCCGGCACCUGGCACCGCUGGAUUAUCUUGAGAACUAAUCCAGCCUUGGAAAAAAGAAAAUUGACUAUAAGGUUUAUCAAAGCAUUUUCUUUGCGAUUGGGCCAGUUGGGAAUUCUCUUCUAACUCAUGAGGAUCAUCUGAGAAUUAGUGUAUUUGUGUUGCCUUUCGUAUCACAUUGACUGUUUGGCUACCAGGUAGAGAUUGCUUCCCUGAGUACUCUGCCAGCGUUCGUACAUUUCUUUUAGCAAUGUGAUUUUGCUAAGGUGGGAACACACUUGAGCUUUACCUGUGUGGCAUAUUGAGCUGAGAGAGCUGAAACUUGGAGCUGAAGAGUUCUGAUCAUAGGCGAGUCUUCAGUAAGAAAUACUUCUGUACUCUUCCAAGCAGAUUGUCAGAAUUCUUUGCAGAAUCUUGACUUGUGCUUAAUAUACAGGUCAGCUCGUGUCUGUUAAAUUGGAAGCAGCAUCAAUCCAAACAGUUUCAGAAGUGGCCUGAGCUGUAUCUACCAUGGUAUUACAGUGUGACUGGCAGCUACCUGACCAGUGUUAGUUACACCUGACUGCUCUGUCCUAACUGGGAGAUAGACAUAGUAAUGUACAAGUUGGGUUUUACACAUACCCGCUGGGCUUUAGUUGUGAAGCUACUUCAGUUGCAGUGAUGUGAGGCUAGUUUCUCACACCUGUAAGACCUAGAGUAUUGGAGACUGCUACCAUCAUAACGGUCUCUCCAGAGAAAGUGUUCUGCUCUUGCCAUCACUUCUACUCACCAGACAGACGGAAUCAUCCUUUCACAGUUGAGAUGUAAUUGUCAUUUAUGUAGACACAUAACUCUUGUAUGUUCACUUGGAAAAUUUUUCAAGUACCAUUUACAUUUAGAAAAUAAUAGAUGUAUCUAUGGAAUUUUUCUGUUGUGCUAUAGUAAUAUGCAGCAUUUUAAAGAUGUAGUAAAUUCUGUGACUGACCAAGUUGGAUCAAAAAUUUCAUCCUCUUAAAACUUCAUCUUUUGCGACCCAGGCCUCUAAUGUGUGAAUGGAUUGGACACCAGUCUUUCUUCUGUAACCAACACCCAGAUGCCUCUUCCCUUACUUUAUACCAUCUGAGUGUUUGGGACUCUGGUAUUUGUUGGACGAGGUGUUCAUCCUUUCUUCCACACUCAAAGUGAAACUUGAAACAUGAAUGCACAAUAUAAUCUCAAAUCAAGGUGCUCUGACUAGAAAUGCAGGCUCUGGGGCUUCAAGGAGCAAAUACCCAACCUGGCCUGUGCCUCCUGCCAUCACCUAGAGUACAAGGAAAUACUCUUGCAGGUUCCGCCCUGCCUUUCUGUAUUUCUGCCUGGCCAUGUGUGCUCUGUUGUUAGAAUUGAAAUGCGAAACCUUCCCUUCAGAGAAUGUUCACACCAAGUCGAUUGUACUAAGUUUGGGAAUCCUUAAAGUUAUUUAAUGAGUGUGUUGGAGCUUAUUAUUUCUCUUCUCAUAACACUGUACAUUGUUGGACUAAGGUCAGCUUUAUUGCUUAUGGGGUGUCUUGAGUUUUCUGUUACCAUGUUCUGUGUCCCUGUGUAGUCAAGGAUCCUGUACAAUAUGGCCUGUCAGUAGAGCCAUGGAGUACAGCAUUUAGUUAACAGAAGAGGUAGAAGAGGUUCUGUGGAGCCUAUCAGGAAAUUUGUUGAAACAAGAUGAUACAGUUUUGUAAAUUACUGUCAUUUACGUUACUGAUUUUUUCAGUAAUAAUUGCUUUUGUGAGGGAAGGGUAUGGGAACUAAAACCUUUGCCAGUUAUGCAAAAUCGUUACUGCUUUUCAGAGUUUGUGUACAGUUAGUUGUGUGUGGGGUUUGUGUAUUUGAAAGCAUGGCUCCUCCUUCCUGACAUUGCUUCCACUGCAUGCUCCAUGCAGAACUCUCUCCAACUUGGUGCUAACCAUUUCUACCUCACACAUUCUUCAUCCUUUACAGAGCUGAAGGUUUGCUAUGUGUGUCUGAAACAGUUAAGCUUUCCUUUAUUAGCCUACCUAAACAAUAGUGUGUUCAGAUAACUUCAGGGGGUGCAAGUGCUUCAUUGAAACUCAAAUGUAUAUAACUCAUAAUAUUCCACAUCUGUAUUUAGAGUCAAUAUUAACC